rnacentral:lncRNA from 1 species
UACAUGAAUAUGAUGAACUUAGUAUGUCCACGACAUUAACACAUACAACUUAAAUACAAAAUUAUAAUUCCAUCAAUUAAAACUAUUAAAAAUAUUUAAUUUAAAUAAAAAAUUGAAAAGUAUAAAAUAUAGUAUUUAAUUUUUUUAAAGAAUUAACUUUCUCUAGAAUUAAAAGAUAUAUUACCCGAAAAACAAAUCAUAAAAACCGCUAAAAGACACGCACGCUGGGAUUUAAAAAAUAAAAAUAAAAAAAUCGAUAAAAAUGUUAGACAUGUUGGGAUUUAAAUCAAAAAA